rnacentral:lncRNA from 10 species
CCAUCCUUCAUCUUUCUCCCAUGCCAGAUGCUUCUUGCCCUCAAACAUCAGGCUCCAAGUUCUUCAGCUUUUGGACUCUUGGGCUUACAGCAGUGGUUUGCCAGGAGCUCUCGGACCUUUGACCGCAAAUGGAAGGCUGCACUGUCGGCUUCCCUACUUUUGAGGUUUUGGGACUCCGACUAUCUUCGUUGCUCCUCAGCUUGCAGACGGCCUAAUGUGAGACUUCACCUUUCGAUUGUUAAUAUCAUCAGGAAGACGGGUGCUUCACCAUGCUUCUGCCUGUACCAGUGUACAGAAUAUAAAGCCUUGGAGGAACUGCAGUUGAUGACAGCAUCUUCCCCUUCUCGGAGGAUCACGGCUUGAGGACUCUGCACUGGUUGUUGGCUUCUCACCCCUGAUCAGAAAGACAAUCGAAUGAGAUGCUCAAUCUCGUGAAGGGAAGGGUGAUUUUCUCUCUUCCUUCCUUAUUUAAAACAUUAAGCAUCACCACAUAAUUACGGUACAUUUUCCUCACUUCUUAGGUCUGGUUCUUAAAAGGGCCCUUCCCAAGACAGAAAGCUAUUGUCAUUAAGAUGCUGUCAUAUCACAACCUCUCCCAGACUGAAUCGUGUACUCACAGGUCAACUGCCACAACAAGGUGCCUGAAAGCACUUUCAGGAGAGUCUCCAUCCUUGGCCUGCCAGAAUAUCCAGUCAGCUUCUGAAUGGGCUUCCUUAACAGGAGUUGCUUUGAACUCAGAAUGAGGCCUGUUGCAAUUGCUUCCAGGAUAUUGCAACUUUGGGGGCAACCAAUCAGAGACACAUCACAACAGUUUAACUGCAGAGAACUAAAUGCAUCUACCUAGAAUACUUUUUAAACAGCUCUCCCCUGUGGCCAGACUGAGGAAUGUUGAUUAAACUGUGGAUUUUGGCUUUUCUUGAAACAAAUACAACUGCUUCAAGUAUGAAAAUGGGCCAGUGGAGGGCUUGCUAUGUGGAGGAAACUGCCAACUUCUUUCUUCUUCAGGCUUGAAAACUUGAAGUUAUUGACAUUUGCCAUUCAAAGACUCUUCCCCAAGCCAGUCCUGUGAACAUACAGGCCAUUGUAGUUAAUGUUUGGUCACUUUCAGAACCACCAACUAGGAUGUUGCUUUGAAACCACAGUUGGAUGCUACUGAGGUGUACUAUCGGUAUCUUUCUUCCAAAAAGGUAGUAACUUUCUUCUAAUUUUUACAAUACUUCUGCAUUUUACUGCAGUGUAAGAGUCUGGAAAGAUAGCAGCUUCAUCAUCUCUGGAGUACUACAAGAAAGCUGGGAAACCAUCCAUUUCUGCCCCAUUGUACUGAACAUUCCUGGGUGUGGUCUUCUGGAAAACGGAAUGACCAAUCUGAACCAUGAAGUAUUCUGAAAUUCUCCAUGUUGAUCCUUUGGAUUCAAUUAGCAUGAGAGCUGAAGGCGUUCCCAUUUAAAUUAACAGAAAAUCCUAAAGAGAUGGAAAAUCCCUGAUGCCAACUAUGAAAGGAAGAAUUAAUGAAAGAAGGAAGAAAGAGAGAAUGAGGGGGUGAGAAAGGUGGAAGGAGGGAGAAAAACUCAUUUCAGGUUGGGAAAGAAUCCCUAGCUCCCUUCCCUGGUGCCUUCUGCUUUGUUUCUACACAGGGGUGGAACACUCAGAAACAGUCUGUCUGAUAGCUUCCAUUUGUCCCUCUAUAUCGACUCUCUUUGCUACUGCCUACCCCGGGGAGUUGCAGGCCCAUAUCGUUAAUGAUCCUAAUAGCAGGCUGCAUUUCCAGAUAUUUGUGUUAUAGCAGAGGGGUCUUGUCCUCCAGUGUGUGUGGAAAAUGUUUUCUGGAAAGGCAGCAGAAAUGGUUCCAUGAGGGGCUGAGGUUGUUCUCUCUAUUCAUGCCAUAAGCUGUGCGAGGCGGAGCUGGAGGCAUGUGGCAGCCUCGUGACUGGGGCUGGCAGCAGGGUUUGGGUGCAGGCAGCAGGUGCCUCAAGAGCACUGUGCUCCUGCACAGAGGUAGAGGCCUGUAUCACCAGUCUGGGCUGCAG